rnacentral:lncRNA from 1 species
GGCCCAAGAUAGAUGAGAUUAGGUCGAGUCAUGGGUGUACAUGGGCUUGGGUUAACCUAAUUUCCCAUAGAGUUGGUCAAGGGAGUUUUGGGUUUGGGUCACUUGAUCCGGUGUUUAUAUAUACAUGUACUUGUAUAGGUUUGAUCAAGCCAAGUAAUAGACAACUCUUUCUCCCAAGUCUCUCUCUCUCUUCUCCCUCUCUCUCCAGCCAUCCUCCAUGCCCCAGGAGCAAGAAACCCUAGGGUUUCUUGCCGCCAGGUCCUAAAAAGGAAAGAAAAGCAAGGAGGGGCU